UUAAAACUGUUUAAUGCUGUUUUUAGUCCUUUUACAAUUACGUGAGAAAAACAGUUGGAGUUCUUUAAUGUUUCUUAUCUUUAAUUUGAGGGAUAUACCUUAAUGAAAAAAAUGCAAAUAAUGUUUCGUCUUUGUUCGUUUUUAUGUGACGAGGGAAGGGUUACGAUCACGCGCUCUCUCAGUCUCUCUCUCUCACGCACGCGCACGCACACAUACACACUCACAUACAGAGUCGAUAGCAGUAAAUAGAUAUACAUCUGUAGACAUGCAUAUAAUUAUACAGACAGUUGAACAGACCAACAAUUAUGCAAGUCAGAUAAACAGAUGUAGGAAGAGGUAGACGUACAGCAAUGCCCAGAGAAUGAGGGACUGACAGACAUAUAGAGAAGUAGAUGGAAGGGUGUGUAGUCCACACCAGACUACAAUUCACGGCCACCUAUAUCUAUCUUGAGUUUUCUUUCUUCCGGUGCAUAGCUUCAAUUAUUCAAUAGCUGUCGAACCUCACAGUCGUGUUGUCUUGAAACCAUUGACUACGGCAAGGGGGUGGUGGUGAUGGUCAGCUGGUGAUGGUGGUGGAUUGAUGAUGUGGUAGUGGUGGUGGUGAUUGAUGAUGAUGAUGAUGAUGAUGAUGAUGAUGAUGAUGAUGAUGAUGACAGUGACCUGAUAGAGUUAAAACUGAAGCUGGACACGUCUCUCGUCACAACGACGAAGCAUAUCCCCGCCUACACCAUGGACGACAUAUACAGUAUGCUGGGUGGAGAAAUGGGUCUCUUCCUAGGAGCGAGUAUGUUGACAGUGAUUGAAAUUCUCGAAGUUAUCGGUCUUAGCAUCUGGAUCCUGAUCAAGACUCUUUUCCAAGCCCGGUGACAGGGUCACCAUAGAUCAGUGCACAUAGGUCACAGGCACUUCCUUUAUAAUAGCUUCUCAAACGCUGAGGACUUGGAGGCUGCACUUUUCAUCUCGCACGUAAUGCCCCAUCUCACACAGAAGGAAGGAAAAAAAGGAAGAAAAAAGAGACAUGUUUCCUCAGACAACAUAGCCUAUACAUGCAUGUCGUUUUAUAACUCAUAAGCCUCUCGCUUUCCAAGAAAAGGGUGGCUAACGUGCUAUCAAUUUUUGCUGCCCGGCGUUUAUCGAUUGCUUCCCCUUAGAGUGCUCAUUAAAGCCCUCGCGGAGAUGAGCUUGACGUCAUCGUGAUGACCUUGGUGCCACAUGGAGGCAAGCAGCGCACCCCUAACCACCUUCCAGUCGUUAAAUUCUCUUUGCAACGAUUUUUGUGAUUCCGCAGAGUUAGCAGGCGAUCGGGCGUGACGCACCGAGAAUACGAAUUGUAACCCACAUUGUGAGCGAUAACUGUGAGUGACAGACACGUCACAACUUGUACUCUCGUCUCGGAAGAACAAAGGCAGCGCCAUAGAAAUCAUCUUCAUCAACAUAACCAAAGUCAUCAACGCCAUCAUCACCAUAACACUACCAUACCUGUGAUAAUAGUGAUGGUUGACCAUCAGAUCCACGCGGCCACGUGAGCAGAACAAUAAGCGGAAGAACCUCAGCCUGUCAGCUGUCCGAAGACUGAGACUACUAGCGCCAUCAAGCUGAACACAAAAUAAAACAAAACAAAAUUUCACGAACGGAUAGUCGACAAAGUAAGGGAACAAACCAAACAUGUAAAAGACGAGCUGGAGGAGUUAUCCUACCCUUUGAGUGCUGUUCUGUUUGUUGUGGUUAAAUGUCUACUGAGGUGAAUUUUGUUUUUUAAUGACUGAGCAAAACUCGGGAAGAAAUACUAUUUUUGCAAAUCUGGAUAAAUACUCUCAUUCUGUAAAAAUGCAUUUACGAAUAUCAACAAAAAGAGGUCAGUGGGAUUAUCUGUAAAUUAGACAUGCUUAUGAGAAAAUGCGUUUCACCUCUUUCUUUAUACGUUGAUGUUUGUAGGCGUUUGUAUUUCAAGAACGGAAGGGAGACAUUCACACAGAUUUAGUAAAAUCUCCUCUGCUGUACUUUCAACUCUUCUUACCCGGAAAAAAUAAGGACGAACGUGCGGUCAAGUUCUUCAGAGUGUUUACUCGAUGGUUUAAUAAAAUCUUCGCCAAACUUGUCA